AAGCCAGAAAAGAAAUCAAAGAAAUCUCCAGAGAAGUUGUGGUGGAGAUGCAGAGCCCGGUAGGCUCCAAAACGGGACGAACAGAUCUAUAACGUUGAAGACCAAACCAGACCCAGCCUCCGUCAGAUUUGCCGGCCGAUGAAACUCGCCGGAGAAGGCCGGUCGCCUGCACCGCAGACUUCCUCCUCGCCGUCGACGACUUGCCCGCCUGCCCAAUGAAAUCUUCACAUCGACCCACCUGACCUGUUAAGCUGGGACUUGGCUCCAUCUUCUCCCAUUCAUCCCCAUCAUCAUCUUCCUCCUCUUCAUUGGGAUGCUCGCAAUCUCACCUUUGAGGAGUAGGAACGAUGAUGAGAGAGGGGGAGAGUCGGCCGGUGACUUCUCAGCGCUGGGCAGCGGGGGGGCCGACAAUUUCUCCGGGGACUUCUCGGCGGGAGACUUGCUGGAGAGCAUCGACUUCGAUGACUUGUUCGUGGGGUUCGACGACGGUGACACCCUGCCGGACCUGGAGCUGGACCCCACGGAGAUGCUCGCCGAGUUCUCCAUCGGCGGCGGGGAGGACUCGGGGACGACGACGGCCUCAAGGAGCACCGGAGAUCAAGAUCUAGAGAGAACCGACGAGAGCGAGAAGAGGGAGGCCGAAGAGGACGAGAAG
rnacentral:lncRNA from 1 species